CUGCCCUUUAGAUCAUGAGCAGAGAUCAGCUUGUUGGCCUGAUAAAACCUGGAAAAUUGGCGUUCUUAGUUUGAUUUUUGUCAUUAGCAUAGAGAGAGAGAGAGAGAGAGCAGUCGCAGAAGACCAUGAGAGUCCCUCAUGAAAGUUCAUUGAGAGGGAGAGAGCAGUCUCAAGUUAGGGACUUCUUGAUUUGGACAUAAUUUUGCAGCACAGGUUAAAAGUCCUUGCUGAUAGACUGCUGAAAGAACUUCUACCGUGUAUACACGUAAAAAGAACUUGUACCGUCUACGGACGUAAAAGACAUUUUACCGUGUAUACACGUAAAAAGAACUUGUAUCGUUUACGGACGGAAAAAGAACUUGUACUGUCCAUUGACAUACCGUGUAUACACGUAUAAAGGACUUGUAUCGUUUACGGACGGAAAAAGAAUCUUCGACGAUCAACUUCUUAUCACUUACCGUUAUCUUUCAUAAUACAUCUACUGACAAUAAACAAACUUCCGCUCUCUCCCUGUUGACAGAACCAGAAUCAAAGCUUGUAGCCAGUGGACAUUAUCUUUUGAACUACUACUAUCAUAGAUCAUUUUAUUGUCAAGAGAUAGAGAACUUUCAU